rnacentral:rRNA from 1 species
GAUGAACGCUGGCGGCGUGCCUAAUACAUGCAAGUCGAGCGAAUGGAUUAAGAGCUUACUCUUAUGAAGUUAGCGGCGGACGGGUGAGUAACACGUGGGUAACCUGCCCAUAAGACUGGGAUAACUCCGGGAAACCGGGGCUAAUACCGGAUAACAUUUUGAACCGCAUGGUUCGAAAUUGAAAGGCGGCUUCGGCUGUCACUUAUGGAUGGACCCGCGUCGCAUUAGCUAGUUGGUGAGGUAACGGCUCACCAAGGCAACGAUGCGUAGCCGACCUGAGAGGGUGAUCGGCCACACUGGGACUGAGACACGGCCCAGCCUCCUACGGGAGGCAGCAGUAGGGAAUCUUCCGCAAUGGACGAAAGUCUGACGGAGCAACGCCGCGUGAGUGAUGAAGGCUUUCGGGUCGUAAAACUCUGUUGUUAGGGAAGAACAAGUGCUAGUUGAAUAAGCUGGCACCUUGACGGUACCUAACCAGAAAGCCACGGCUAACUACGUGCCAGCCGCCGCGGUAA